AAAAUAAAAGGAAAAUUGCAUUAGGUUGAAAUGCCUUUUAGAAGAUAUACGCUCCUGAAGAAUACACGAAUGUUCACUCGAUCCCUCAUAAAUGCAGGAAAGUGUCAAAUUCAUACAUACACGUGUUGAUUUGCGGGUAUUAUCUCCAUCCCAGACGACUUGUUCAGAGUGUUUGGUCACAUAUCUACUUUACUUACUCAUCUCUUCAUUCAGACAGGAGAGCAACUGAAAAGAUUUGUCAUAUCUCUCAUUUUGUACCAUUUUAAACAUUUAUUAAAUAAAAUAUCUACAAGUUUGUGUAGUUAAAGUAUUCUUUUUUUCUCAACAGCGUACAGACGCUGACGUGGUUAUGUUUAUUGUGGUUAUAAAUAACGGCGUUGCUAGUUUAGAGAUACUGGUCUUGACACGAUAAAAUUAAACAAAUGUCAUACGUUUAAUAUCUUGAUUUUGUUUUCCCGGUAAGGUCACAUGAUCGGAAACCUAUCAAAUGUGCUGUGUGCUGGUUUUGUGUAGCCUGGGUGUGGACACUUGGAUCUGCAUGCUUGGGCUUUAUCACCCAUGGACAAUGCGACACUUCAGACUGUAAGCUGAAGAUUAGAAAAUGGUUUCUGUUUCUGUUUCUGUUCAUAAAAGGCAUUCAUUCACUCAUACAAGCUACAUUUGAUACUUUCUGCCAUUAUCUUUGACUGUUCCAUGCACUUUUAUUUUCUAUACUGAGUAGAGGUUUGUUCCCAGGUUUGGAUUAGAUCUGCUAAUAUUUGAAAAGCCCUGAACUUGGAUCCAGUUGCAUCUGGUUUCCAAUCAUUGAGACAUAAAGCCACACUUUGAGAUUGCACUGAUCUGAAAUGUUGUCAGUGAUAUUAAAUGGAUCACACUGCCAUCCAAAGAA